rnacentral:lncRNA from 1 species
CCCCAACUUCCCAGGGGGUCACCCAUCCUAGGACUACUCCCGUCCUAGCACGCUUAACUCUCUUAACCUCUUGGGCCUUGCCACCACCCAAAAUGCUUAAGCCGGGUUAAGAGUUUAGCCCUAUUAUAUCUCAUAUAUAGGACUAUCUGGGGUCUCACAAUCUCCCCUCCUUUAAGCCCUGACGUCCUCGUCAGGCUCAGACUCACAAGUACCAGGCGAUGUGAGACUCGUCUCGCUAGCCCGUCAUCCAGACCCUGGCUCAGCCGAGACUCAUCUCACACUUCCGGCUGGUAAUUGGCUCUGAUACCAUCUGUGACGCCCCAACUUCCCAGGGGGUCACCCAUCCUAGGACUACUCCCGUCCUAGCACGCUUAACUCUCUUAACCUCUUGGGCCUUGCCACCACCCAAAAUGCUUAAGCCGGGUUAAGAGUUUAGUCCUAUUAUAUCUCAUAUAUAGGACUAUCUGGGGUCUCACACUCGCCGUCACCCUCGCCCAUGCACACCCCGCCCUUCUCCCCUCCGACCCUGUCGAGGCCGUACCGCGAACAUUUUUUCUUUUUUUCCUCUCUGACCCUCCUCCACUCGCCGUCCCCACCGCCGUCGUUGGCGACAAAGAGGAAAUGCUUCUUG